rnacentral:rRNA from 1 species
UACAGAGGUCUCAAGCGUUGUUCGGAUUUACUGGGCGUAAAGGGCGCGUAGGCGGCCACCGCAAGUCGGUUGUGAAAUCUCUGGGCUUAACCCAGAAAGGUCAACCGAUACUGCGGGGCUAGAGUGCAGAAGGGGCAACUGGAAUUCUCGGUGUAGCGGUGAAAUGCGUAGAUAUCGAGAGGAACACCUGCGGCGAAGGCGGGUUGCUGGGCUGACACUGACGCUGGAAGCGCGAAAGCUAGGGGAGCGAACGGG